rnacentral:rRNA from 1 species
UGCGUAGGCGGGUUUCUAAGUCAGGGGUGAAAUCCCGGAGCUCAACCCCCGGAACUGCCUUUGAUACUGGGUACCUAGAGUAUGGAAGAGGUAAGUGGAAUUCCGAGUGUAGAGGUGAAAUUCGUAGAUAUUCGGAGGAACACCAGUGGCGAAGGCGGCUUACUGGUCCAUUACUGACGCUGAGGUGCGAAAGCGUGGGGAGCAAACA